rnacentral:misc_RNA from 1 species
UCUCCGUAGGUGAACCUGCGGAGGGAUCAUUACAGAGUUCUCGCCCUUACGGGUAGAACUCCCACCCACGGUUAUCGUUACUGUCGUUUCUUUGGCGGGCCGCCGGGCCCCCCGGCGGACGGCGUCUAAUAGGCGGCGCGCGCCAGCCAGAGGCCUUCAAACUCUGAAUGUUAGUGUCGUCUGAGUACUAUAUAAUAGUUAAAACUUUCAACAACGGAUCUCUUGGUUCUG